rnacentral:misc_RNA from 1 species
GGAAUUUAGGAUGGGGAUUUUGCUCGUCAAACUCCAUAGUUUUGGGAUCUGCUCUUCUUCCUUUUGGGCUGAUUUACCCUAAGAUAGGUCUUCCUUUGAGAAAUCUUGACAUUUAUAAGUUUCAGAAGAAAGUUCAAGCUCGACUGUGCCUUGAGAUUUUGGAUAUAAGCGAGAAGCCAUUAGAAUGCAAGUUUUGCAAUCUUGAAUUGUUUGAUUG